UUUUUUACUCACUCCUCAGGGCUGUGUCCUUUUUCAGUUCCAAAAUCGUCCCUGCUUUAAGUUUUCCAAAUCUCUGGGUGAUCUUGGUGUGUCUUAAAGACACUUUACACUAAUGUGGGGGUUCCUGAUUAUUAGGCCACAAUUUUCAUCUACUUUGUUCAAACAGCAUGAAAUGGAAGUGGAAGUACAACAUUUGCCUGAUUCUAGCUGUCAACAUUUUUAGGAAUCUAUCACCCUUCUACAUGGAGCUGAUCUGAGAUUAAAAUUCUGUGGGCAUCCAUCCAGAAAAACCAUGACAGGUUUCUGAGAGGACACAGUGGAGGAUGGAAGCCCUGGGAUGGAAAUUUCAGAAAAGCAGCUGCUGCUCCCAGAAGAACUAAAGCUGUGUGUCCACUGACAAAGAAAGGAGGGGACUCAGUCAAUUAUUUGGAAAAUCUGAGACAAGCCUGUACUGCACAACGCACAUGAGGAUGCAGGGCUGCUCCAGGGAUCGAACUCAGGACCUUGUGCUUGCAAAGCAGGCUCGGAGCCACUGCUGAGCUAAAUCCCCAGCCCUGAAUUAUUCUAUCUUUAAAGCAAGAAAUCCCACUGAACUUCUUUCCUCAACUUUGCAUUUGGUACCAAGAAACUAAGUUCUUCAAUUAUUUGUAU